CCUACGGGAGGCAGCAGUGGGGAAUAUUGCGCAAUGGGCGAAAGCCUGACGCAGCGACGCCGCGUGAGGGAUGAAGGUCUUCUGAUCGUAAAACUCUGUUAGCAGGGAAGAACGGUCACUGUGGUGAUCAGCAGUGAAUUGACGGUACCUGCAAAGGAAGCACCGGCUAACUCCGGGCCAGCAGCCGCGGUGAUACGGGGGGUGCGAGCGUUAAUCGGAAUUACUGGGCGUAAAGCGGGCGUAGGCGGUAUGUCAAGUCAAGGGUGAAAUCCCCGCGCUCAACGUGGGAACUGCCUUUGAAACUGGCAAACUUGAGUGUGUGAGAGGAUGGUGGAAUUCCAGGUGUAGGAGUGAAAUGCGUAGAUAUCUGGAGGAACAUCAGUGGCGAAGGCGACUAUCUGGCACAUAACUGACGCUGAGGAGCGAAAGCGUGGGUAGCAAACAGGAUUAGAUACCCCAGUAGUC
rnacentral:rRNA from 1 species